AGAAUCAUAUUAAAAAUGUUAGUCAUAUCCCAAACAUAUGUAAUAACUUUUCUGUAGAGGUUCUGUCAUCAAAUUGUGUUAUUAAUUGAGGUGUUCUUGCACAUCCCAUUAUGACUUCGUUUGCUUUUAGGAGUUACAUUAUAGUUACUCUGUUUUUCCCCAGUCGAGAGAUAUGAACAAGCGUUUACAUCAUAUUUGCAGGGUACAAAGAAUCAAAAUCAGCUUUCGGGGAAGCGACAAAUCACCUACCUCUACUCACAGA